rnacentral:rRNA from 1 species
UACGUAGGUGGCAAGCGUUGUCCGGAUUUAUUGGGUUUAAAGGGUGCGUAGGCGGCUUUGUAAGUCAGUGGUGAAAUAUGGCAGCUCAACUGUCAGGGUGCCAUUGAUACUGCAGAGCUUGAGUACAGAUGAGGUAGGCGGAAUUGACGGUGUAGCAGUGAAAUGCUUAGAUAUCGUCAAGAACACCGAUAGCGAAGGCAGCUUACUGGGCUGUAACUGACGCUGAGGCACGAAAGUGUGGGGAUCAAACAGG